rnacentral:lncRNA from 1 species
GUGGAUUUACUAGGAAGGUGGGACGUUGGAGGGGUGGCCGCAUGGAGUGAGUACUGUCUCUGGCCACCGAGCAGAGCCAGUGACAGCAGCGUCCUGGUAGGCAGGCAGGCGUAUCAGGUUUCAGAGGAUGCGGCUGGGAACGGGAGUAGAGGUGAGGGGUCGUUGCAUCUGUCGCGGUGUGUAUCUUUUGGGGGUUCAGCGCCACCAGCGACUUGGGCCUCAUUCAUCGCGCUUACAUUUCUCCACCUCAUUUGAAGAACGAGCUUCGUAGCCCACGGAGCUGAGGUAUAUGAGCUCCCUGAAAGCACAAAGCAGUUAUUUCCAUCUUCAGAUCAUUCAGAGAUUAUGAAGGCACAAACCCUGCCUUCAAUUUGCUUAUAGUCAAGUGGAGCAGACACAAGUCAAUGAUUGCAGUAUAGCCACUGAAGUAAUCUAAAAGAGGUGGGGAGGCCACAGCUUAUGUGAAUGACUUUCUCAGGAGUUAUAAAGUGAUACAGACUUAUCAGCAGGUUGCAGGUGAACAUGGCCUUGAGGUAAAUCUGUCCCUUGCUGAAUACAGUUUCAGUAGAUUGUUUAUAGUAGUUUCAGGAAUUGAGAUUUUUUACAAAAAUACAAAAGUUUUGCUUGGUUCUGUUCUAGAUGUUUUCUUCUAAAUAAAUGAGAAAGAUGUUUCAACAAAGGCUCUUUAUGCUGAAUAAUUGUGAUGCUUGAAGUUGCUAAUCUGCUUUAAGUGGAUUUUAAAUGUCAGGCAAUUCUAGACAGUUUUUUCUUGGUCAAAUAAAAAUUUAAUUAAAACUUUAAAAAAAAAAA